rnacentral:lncRNA from 1 species
UUGUUUGACUUUGACUUUCAAUGUCAUUUGGUCAACACACAUGGAUUGGUACAUUUUAUUUCACCUUAUGCACUUUAUUCUUUCCUUUUUUCCUUUUCCAUUAUUCAUCUCUUUCUUCUUCUUCUUCUUCUUUUUCUUUUUUUUUGAUCAAUGAGUUAAAGGUUGAUAAGUUAGCAUUGAUUAGGGAGACUUAACCUUCCUUGAUUCAAAUCUAAUUCAUCUUGAUCAAUUGAUCAAGUGAAUGGCUUUGCAUUAAGGAU